rnacentral:rRNA from 1 species
GAUGAACGCUGGCGGCGUGCCUAAUACAUGCAAGUCGAGCGAACGGACGAGAAGCUUGCUUCUCUGAUGUUAGCGGCGGACGGGUGAGUAACACGUGGAUAACCUACCUAUAAGACUGGGAUAACUUCGGGAAACCGUAGCUAAUACCGGAUAAUAUUUUGAACCGUAUGGUUCAAAAGUGAAAUACGGUCUUGCUGUCACUUAUAGAUGGAUCCGGGCUGCAUUAGCUAGUUGGGAAGGUAACGGCUUACCAAGGCAACGAUGCAUAGCCGACCUGAGAGGGUGAUCGGCCACACUGGAACUUAGACACGGUCCAGACUCCUAAGGGAGGCAGCAGUAGGGAAUCUUCCGCAAAGGGCGAAAGCCUGACGGAGCAACGCCGCGUGAGUGAUGAAGGUCUUCGGAUCGUAAAACUCUGUUAUUAGGGAAGAACAUAUGUGUAAGUAACUGUGCCCAUCUUGACGGUACCUAAUCAGAAAGCCACGGCUAACUACGUG